rnacentral:rRNA from 1 species
UCAUGUUGUUUAAUUCGAUGAUACGCGAAGAACCUUACCAGGUCUUGACAUCCCCCGCGAUGCUUUAGAGAUAAAGCGGAGGUAUUCGGGGAGACGGGUGGUGCAUGGUUGUCGUCAGCUCGUGUCGUGAGAUGUUGGGUUAAGUCCCGCAACGAGCGCAACCCUAUUGCUAGUUACCAUCAUUAAGUUGGGGACUCUAGCGAGACUGCCAGUGAUAAACUGGAGGAAGGUGGGGAUGACGUCAAAUCAUCAUGCCCCUUAUGACCUGGGCUACAAACGUGAUACAAUGGCUGGAACAAAGGGAUGCGAAGCAGUGAUGUGGAGCGAAACCCAUAAAAACAGUCUCAGUUCGGAUUGAAGUCUGCAACUCGACUUCAUGAAGUCGGAAUCGCUAGUAAUCGCGGAUCAGAACGCCGCGGUGAAUACGUUCUCGGGGUUU